UCAGCUCGUCCAGCUUGCGCAGUUGCGCAACAGCUCGACGGGGUCCUGCUGCAGCGCGGCCUAGUCCGCGCGCCCCUCGGGUCGUUGCAUUGCGGCCACUCCACCCAAUCCUCUGCCUGUACUUCAUCUUCUUGUGCAGUGCAGAGAUGUUCAAAUUUAGAUCAGUACAUGUUCAACCACGGUAAGGCUACAAUGGUAAAAACAAGUUAUGUAUAUCUAAAGGAUUCAACCACAUUUCUGAAUUAACAAAAUAUUUAAAAAAGAAAAAUAAUCUACCUGAUAGGUUUUGUAAAGAUUAUUGUAGCUUCCAGUAACUCAUCACUGCUUCCAAUGCAUGAACACGUACAUGCUGGAGUUAUUCCUUGAAUAAGUAAAGGAGCAAUACAUAAUGCAUCUAUAAUAAAAAAGGUAACGUAUUUCUAUGUAUGGAAUCCUAGAUAAGGAUAAUUCUACUCCUAGUUUACUUGCUUCUAGGAUAUGUUUGAGUUCAUCUCUGAAAAUGGUAAUAACCUAGAAUCAUAAUCUCCAUCUUUUAUAUGCCUGUAACAGAUCUGUAUCAAUAUAAGGCACCCAGAAUAUGAUUCCAAGACAGAAACAUAGACAUAUAUGCUACUUUACCUAUUUGGAGAAAGGGACCGAGAUGAGGGAGUAGAG
rnacentral:lncRNA from 1 species